UGGGGAAUAUUGCACAAUGGGCGCAAGCCUGAUGCAGCCAUGCCGCGUGUGUGAAGAAGGCCUUCGGGUUGUAAAGCACUUUCAGCGAGGAGGAAGGUGGUGAGCUUAAUACGCUCAUCAAUUGACGUUACUCGCAGAAGAAGCACCGGCUAACUCCGUGCCAGCAGCCGCGGUAAUACGGAGGGUGCAAGCGUUAAUCGGAAUUACUGGGCGUAAAGCGCACGCAGGCGGUUUGUUAAGUCAGAUGUGAAAUCCCCGGGCUCAACCUGGGAACUGCAUUUGAAACUGGCAAGCUAGAGUCUCGUAGAGGGGGGUAGAAUUCCAGGUGUAGCGGUGAAAUGCGUAGAGAUCUGGAGGAAUACCGGUGGCGAAGGCGGCCCCCUGGACGAAGACUGACGCUCAGGUGCGAAAGCGUGGGGAGCAAAACAGGAUUAGAUACCCUGGUAGUCCACGCUGUAAAACGAUGUCGAUUUUGGAGGUUGUGCCCUUGAGGCGUGGCUUCCGGAGCUAACGCGUUAAAUCGACCGCCUGGGGAGUACGGCCGCAAGGUUAAAACUUAAAUGAAUUGACGGGGUCAUAGCUG
rnacentral:rRNA from 1 species